rnacentral:rRNA from 1 species
CCUACGGGAGGCAGCAGUGGGGGAUAUUGCACAAUGGGGGAAACCCUGAUGUAGCGACGCCGCGUGGGCGAAGAAGUAUUUCGGUAUGUAAAGCCCUAUCAGCAGGGAAGAAGAAAUGACGGUACCUGCGUAAGAAGCACCGGCUAAAUACGUGCCAGCAGCCGCGGUAAUACGUAUGGUGCAAGCGUUAUCCGGAUUUACUGGGUGUAACGGGAGCGCAGGCGGCACGGCAAGCAUGAUGGGAAAGCCCGCGGCCCAACCGCGGGACUGCAUUGGGAACUACCGGGCUGGAGGGCCGGAGAGGUAGGCGGAAUGCCUAGUGUAGCGGUGAAAUGCGUAGAUAUUAGGAGGAACACCAGUGGCGAAGGCGGCCUACUGGACGGUGACUGACGCUGAGGCUCGAAAGCGUGGGGAGCAAACAGGAUUAGAUACCCGGGUAGUC